GAUGAACGCUGGCGGCGUGCCUAAUACAUGCAAGUCGAGCGAACAGACGAGGAGCUUGCUCCUCUGACGUUAGCGGCGGACGGGUGAGUAACACGUGGAUAACCUACCUAUAAGACUGGGAUAACUUCGGGAAACCAGAGCUAAUACCGGAUAAUAUAUUGAACCGCAUGGUUCAAUAGUGAAAGACGGUUUUGCUGUCACUUAUAGAUGGAUCCGCGCCGCAUUAGCUAGUUGGUAAGGUACCGGCUUACCAAGGCAACGAUGCGUAGCCGACCUGAGAGGGUGAUCGGCCACACUGGAACUGAGACACGGUCCAGACUCCUACGGGAGGCAGCAGUAGGGAAUAUUCCGCAAUGGGCGAAAGCUUGACGGAGCAACGCCGCGUGAGUGAUGAAGGUCUUCGGAUCGUAAAACUCUGUUAUUAGGGAAGAACAAAUGUGUAAGUAACUAUGCACGUCUUGACGGUACCUAAUCAGAAAGCCACGGCUAACUACGUG
rnacentral:rRNA from 1 species